UACGUAGGGUGCAAGCGUUGUCCGGAAUUAUUGGGCGUAAAGAGCUCGUAGGCGGUUUGUCGCGUCUGCUGUGAAAACCCGAGGCUCAACCUCGGGCCUGCAGUGGGUACGGGCAGACUAGAGUGCGGUAGGGGAGAUUGGAAUUCCUGGUGUAGCGGUGAAAUGCGCAGAUAUCAGGAGGAACACCGAUGGCGAAGGCAGGUCUCUGGGCUGUAACUGACGCUGAGGAGACGAAAGCAUGGGGAGCGAAUGGGA
rnacentral:rRNA from 1 species